rnacentral:rRNA from 1 species
AGUGGCGAACGGGUGAGUAACACGUGGGCAACCUGCCCAAAAGAGGGGGAUAACACUUGGAAACAGGUGCUAAUACCGCAUAACCAUAGUUACCGCAUGGUAACUAUGUAAAAGGUGGCUAUGCUACCGCUUUUGGAUGGGCCCGCGGCGCAUUAGCUAGUUGGUGGGGUAAAGGCUUACCAAGGCAAUGAUGCGUAGCCGAACUGAGAGGUUGAUCGGCCACAUUGGGACUGAGACACGGCCCAAACUCCUACGGAAGGCAGCAG